AAUGAACGCUGGCGGCGCGCCUAAUACAUGCAAGUCGAGCGAGGAGACGUAGCAAUACGUUUGUAAAGCGGCGAACGGGUGAGGAAUACAUGGGUAACCUACCCUAGAGUGGGAAUAACUAGCCGAAAGGUUAGCUAAUACCGCGUACGCUCCUUGGACUUCGGUUCAGGGAGGAAAGCGAUGCCGAGGGUAUCGCGCUCUUGGAUGGGCUCAUGUCCUAUCAGCUUGNGGUGAGGUAACGACUCACCAAGGCUUCGACGGGUAGCUGGUCUGAGAGGACGAUCAGCCACACUGGCACUGCGACACGGGCCAGACUCCUACGGGAGGCAGCAGUAAGGAAUAUUGCGCAAUGGGCGAAAAGCCUGACGCAGCGACGCCGCGUGGGGGAGU
rnacentral:rRNA from 1 species